rnacentral:rRNA from 1 species
GGUUAAGUGACUAAGCGUACAUGGUGGAUGCCUUGGCAGUCAGAGGCGAUGAAGGACGUACUAACCUGCGAUAAGCUGUGAGAAGUCGGUAAGAGACGCUAUUACUCACAGAUUUCCGAAUGGGGAAACCCACCCGAGAUAACUCGGGUAUCUGUUACUGAAUACAUAGGUAACAGAGGCGAACCGGGAGAACUGAAACAUCUAAGUACCCCGAGGAAAAGAAAUCAACCGAGAUUCCCUCAGUAGCGGCGAGCGAACGGGGAUUAGCCCUUAAGCAUCUUGGAAGUUAGUGGAACGGUCCUGGAAAGGCCGGCGAUACAGGGUGAUAGCCCCGUACACGAAAACAACCUUGAUGUGAAAUCGAGUAGGGCGGGACACGUGACAUCCUGUCUGAAUAUGGGGGGACCAUCCUCCAAGGCUAAAUACUCCUGACUGACCGAUAGUGAACCAGUACCGUGAGGGAAAGGCGAAAAGAACCCCUGUGAGGGGAGUGAAAUAGAACCUGAAACCGUGUACGUACAAGCAGUGGGAGCCCUUCGGGGUGACUGCGUACCUUUUGUAUAAUGGGUCAGCGACUUACAUUUUGUAGCGAGGUUAACCGUAUAGGGGAGCCGUAGGGAAACCGAGUCUUAACUGGGCGUCUAGUUGCAAGGUGUAGACCCGAAACCGGGUGAUCUAGCCAUGGGCAGGUUGAAGGUUGAGUAACAUCAACUGGAGGACCGAACCCACUAACGUUGCAAAGUUAGGGGAUGACCUGUGGCUGGGGGUGAAAGGCCAAUCAAACUCGGAGAUAGCUGGUUCUCCCCGAAAGCUAUUUAGGUAGCGCCUCGGACGAAUACUACUGGGGGUAGAGCACUGUUUGGGCUAGGGGGUCAUCCCGACUUACCAACCCCAUGCAAACUCCGAAUACCAGUAAGUAAUAUCCGGGAGACACACGGCGGGUGCUAACGUCCGUCGUGAAGAGGGAAACAACCCAGACCGCCGGCUAAGGUCCCAAAGUUCUGGUUAAGUGGGAAACGAUGUGGGAAGGCUCAGACAGCUAGGAUGUUGGCUUAGAAGCAGCCAUCAUUUAAAGAAAGCGUAAUAGCUCACUAGUCGAGUCGGCCUGCGCGGAAGAUGUAACGGGGCUCAAACCAGGCACCGAAGCCGCGGAUUCACACUUAUGUGUGAGUGGUAGGGGAGCGUUCUGUAAGUCUGCGAAGGUGUAUCGAGAGGUAUGCUGGAGAUAUCAGAAGUGCGAAUGCUGACGUAAGUAACGAUAAAGGGGGUGAAAAGCCUCCUCGCCGGAAGACCAAGGGUUCCUGUCCAACGUUAAUCGGGGCAGGGUGAGUCGACCCCUAAGGCGAGGCCGAAAGGCGUAGUCGAUGGGAAGCAGGUUAAUAUUCCUGCACGACUUGUAAUUGCGAUGGGGGGACGGAGAAGGCUAGGUGGGCCAGGCGACGGUUGUCCUGGUGAAAGUGCGUAGGUGGUGUUUCUAGGCAAAUCCGGAGACACAACACUGAGACACGAGACGAACACACUACGGUGUGGAAGCCAUUGAUGCCCUGCUUCCAGGAAAAGCCUCUAAGCUUCAGAUUACAAGUCAUCGUACCCCAAACCGACACAGGUGGUCGGGUAGAGAAUACCAAGGCGCUUGAGAGAACUCGGGUGAAGGAACUAGGCAAAAUAGAACCGUAACUUCGGGAGAAGGUUCGCUCUUGAUGGUGAAGUCCCUUGCGGAUGGAGCUGUCGGGAGUCGCAGUGACCAGAUGGCUGGGACUGUUUAUCAAAAACACAGCACUCUGCAAACACGAAAGUGGACGUAUAGGGUGUGACACCUGCCCGGUGCCGGAAGGUUAAUUGAUGGGGUUAGCGCAAGCGAAGCUCUUGAUCGAAGCCCCGGUAAACGGCGGCCGUAACUAUAACGGUCCUAAGGUAGCGAAAUUCCUUGUCGGGUAAGUUCCGACCUGCACGAAUGGUGUAACCAUGGCCAUGCUGUCUCCACCCGAGACUCAGUGAAAUCGAAUUCGCCGUGAAGAUGCGGUGUACCCGCGGCUAGACGGAAAGACCCCGUGAACCUUUACUACAGCUUGGCACUGAACAUUGAACCUACAUGUGUAGGAUAGGUGGGAGGCUUUGAAGGCGUGACGCCAGUUGCGCUGGAGCCGUCCUUGAAAUACCACCCUUGUAUGUUUGAUGUUCUAACGCAGGGCCCUGAAUCGGGCUCGCGGACAGUGCCUGGUGGGUAGUUUGACUGGGGCGGUCUCCUCCCAAAGAGUAACGGAGGAGCACGAAGGUUGGCUAAUCCUGGUCGGACAUCAGGAGGUUAGUGCAAUGGCAUAAGCCAGCUUAACUGCGAGACGGACAGGUCGAGCAGGUACGAAAGUAGGUCAUAGUGAUCCGGUGGUUCUGAAUGGAAGGGCCAUCGCUCAACGGAUAAAAGGUACUCCGGGGAUAACAGGCUGAUACCGCCCAAGAGUUCAUAUCGACGGCGGUGUUUGGCACCUCGAUGUCGGCUCAUCACAUCCUGGGGCUGAAGUCGGUCCCAAGGGUAUGGCUGUUCGCCAUUUAAAGUGGUACGCGAGCUGGGUUCAGAACGUCGUGAGACAGUUCGGUCCCUAUCUGCCGUGGGCGUUGGAUGAUUGAAGGGAGUUGCUCCUAGUACGAGAGGACCGGAGUGAACGAACCUCUGGUGUUCGGGUUGUCACGCCAGUGGCACUGCCCGGUAGCUAAGUUCGGAAUCGAUAACCGCUGAAAGCAUCUAAGCGGGAAGCGAGCCCUGAGAUGAGUCAUCCCUGACCCCUUGAGGGUCCUAAAGGGCCGUUGGAGACCACAACGUUGAUAGGUGGGGUGUGUAAGCGCGGCGACGUGUUGAGCUAACCCAUACUAAUUACCCGUGAGGCUUAACCAU